GGGGAUUUAGCUCAGCGGUAGAGAGCUUGCCUAGCAAGCGCAAGGCCCUGGGUUCGAUCCCCAGCUCCG
rnacentral:tRNA from 1 species